CACUCGAACCGCGUCUCGGACCAAAAUCAAAUUCCCCCGUUUAAACAGGAAGGAAAAAAACCCCAGUACUCUCUCUCUCUCUCUCUCCUCUCUCUUUUAUGGGAAAAUCACUUCCGCCUACCGCCAGUCUCCAAGAAUUCGCUCGAAUUAUAGCCUCGAGCAACCACCGUCCGAAGCGCAUCAAACCCAUAUCGGGACCCCGGUUCGCCCCGUCCCCCGAACCUUACAAGCGGAGGUGGGUCCGAGUGGAAUCGGAGCAGCAGUUGAGGUUCAAUAAGAAGACGAUGGAGGAAGGACGGCGGCCGCAGCAGCAGCAGGAGGGGCAGCAGCAGAACAACCGGUUGCCGCUGGCGGCGGUGGUUUCCGACUGCGUGAAGCGGUGGUUUCAGGACACACUCAAGGAGGCCAAGGCCGGCGACGGCGCUAUGCAGAUUUUGGUGGGCCAGAUGUAUCACAAUGGAUAUGGUGUAAGCAGAGAUGACCACAAGGGGCGUGCUUGGCUGAAUAGAGCUUCCAAGAGUCGAUCCUCAGCAUGGAAAGUUGGUGACAAACAACCUGGUUACAAUGCAAGUGAUUCGGAUUCAGAUGACAUGAAGAGUGAAACCAAAUAAGUAUGGAUGUCCUUUUUUCCUGUCAAGAUUGACACUGAUAGAGUGACAGAUUGCUUGUCAAUGACACUUUACCUAGCUGUGCAAACCUAAUGAUGGCAGCCCUUUAAGCUGGUUGCUCUGCUGUGAUGUCCCUAUGACCUGCAGCCCAGUCAGCCUCUACAUCUCUGGGUCUGGGGUACCAUACGAGGUCAGCCAGCUCGAUUAUAUUUGGCUCAUUCUUAAUCCUUUUCGAAGCCUUAGGAUUGUAGUUCUCAUCCUCGGUACUCCCAGUAUCACUGACGCGUUCUCCCCGAGCAAAUACUACAUGUUGAUAUUCUCCUCUGAUCUCAUACCACAGCUCUCUCUCAGACUAUUACUACAAGUCACAACACCGUUUUCCCGAUAACUCUGCUAGGAACUUUGAGAACAAAGCAUAUGCUCAGAUCUUCUCUUGCCUCCAGCAAACAGUACCAUAAUUUGUAAAUGAGCAUGGAACAGCAAUUUAGUAAAUUGGUAUAUUUUUGGGCUGUGCAAGUAACACCAGGCUUCUGUAACAUCGCGGUUUGCCUGCACUUUUCUUCUCAUUAGCCUUUUUCCUGAGAUCCCUUUGUCACCUUGUGUUUUUUUAUGGCAGUACUUGUCCAAAUUUUGAUUGUAUUUAUACUGAUGGCUCUGUUUGAAUCAUACUGAUGUUUCUUUUUCAGCCCACUAAUUUUUUUUUUUCCUUUCUUGAUGCUGUUGGUGGGUUCAUGAAGCCGUUGCGGCUGUGUUGAAUAAAUGAAGUUUUGUUCCUGUUUUUUUUUGGUUUGAUG